rnacentral:lncRNA from 1 species
UAAUUUUUAUAUGUUUCCCAUGGAAUAGAGAGGUUCUAUUACCAGAAAAAGUGGGGCAAGGGGUGAGGGCAGGUGAAAUCAACAAAAUAUGUUUAUAUUUUGUGUAUUUUAUUUGGCUAGCUUUGCAAGAGGUCUUCCUUACUGGACUUUUCCUUCGUUUCUUUGGGUUUAUUUGCUCAUUCUGGGUUCUUGAGAUGUGUGCUUAGCUAAUUUAAUUUCAAUUUGUUUUCUAAUAUAUUCAGGGCUAUAUGUUUUCUUCUAAAUAGUCCUUUGACUGUUCCCCACUUUGUGUGUGUGUGUUUUGGCGUUUUAUCUGUAAACUUGGUCUUAUGUUCUUCUCCAUUCUCUCAGUGAUACUGUGAUCCACCUAGUAACAUCUUUUUUUCCCCCUAAAACCUUUUCGUUUCCACUUCUUCAUCUCUUACCAGCCAUUCAGCUUCUGUGGGCUGUAGCUAAGGGUACUGAUGGAGGUAGGGUCCUUGUAUUCUGCAUGCUACUUUCCUAUGUCAUUCUCUGAAGCUGGAUUCCACCUCUGUUCUUCCAACUGAAUGGUGGGAUCCAACCAUGUAUGAAUAGAUCUCCCUGAGUGAGCUGAGAUCUGAUGUAAGAGCCCCUUGUCCCGAUGUCAUGGCCAGUCCCUGUGACUGGCUGCCUAAUAGUACUUACUGGCUUCUCUUGCAGUUAUGCUUGAGACUUUGUGGCCCUUCAGAAUCUGUACCUCUGUCACUUCAGGACUAACCUCUACAGCCAGGUCAUUUCCACCAGGGCUUCCCCGUGUGGCCCAGUGCGCUUUCCCCCCUUGCCACCCAGCCACCCCUGUGUGUGUGCCAGGGAGCACAGAUGGCAGUCUGAGCUCACCACAUGGUUUUCCUCUUCUAAUCUGUAAAUGUGGUGGAGUAUCAUAACAUUCUCUCACGUUAAGAUAUCCUUGCAUUCCUGGAAGAAGACAGUCACAAUGGAUUUGUUAUUAUACUGCCGGAUUUGGUUCUCUGGUAUUUUGGCAUCCAGGUGUAUAGGUGAAAUGGUUUAAGGUUUUCCUUUUCCGUACUGCCCCCACCCUUUGUUUUGUAUCAAGGUUAUACCAGCUUCAUAUAAAUAAGUUGGAAAGUGUUUUCCCUUUAUUUUCAUUACGAGAGUUUGUAUAAGAUUGGAAUUUUGCAUUUCUACAAUUUUUGGUAAAGCUUGCUGUAAAACCAAC